rnacentral:rRNA from 1 species
CCUACGGGGGGCUGCAGUGGGGAAUAUUGGACAAUGGGCGAAAGCCUGAUCCAGCCAUGCCGCGUGUGUGAAGAAGGCCUUCGGGUUGUAAAGCACUUUCAGUGGGGAAGAAAGCCUUGGGGCUAAUACCCUCGAGGAAGGACAUCACCCACAGAAGAAGCACCGGCUAACUCCGUGCCAGCAGCCGCGGUAAUACGGAGGGUGCGAGCGUUAAUCGGAAUUACUGGGCGUAAAGCGCGCGUAGGCGGUCUGAUAAGCCGGUUGUGAAAGCCCCGGGCUCAACCUGGGAACGGCAUCCGGAACUGUCAGGCUAGAGUGCAGGAGAGGAAGGUAGAAGUCCCGGUGUAGCGGUGAAAUGCGUAGAGAUCGGGAGGAAUACCAGUGGCGAAGGCGGCCUUCUGGACUGACACUGACGCUGAGGUGCGAAAGCGUGGGUAGCAAACAGGAUUAGAUACCCGAGUAGUC